GACGAACGCUGGCGGCGUGCCUAAUACAUGCAAGUAGAACGCUGAAGGAGGAGCUUGCUUCUCUGGAUGAGUUGCGAACGGGUGAGUAACGCGUAGGUAACCUGCCUGGUAGCGGGGGAUAACUAUUGGAAACGAUAGCUAAUACCGCAUAAGAGUAGAUGUUGCAUGACAUUUGCUUAAAAGGUGCAAUUGCAUCACUACCAGAUGGACCUGCGUUGUAUUAGCUAGUUGGUGGGGUAACGGCUCACCAAGGCGACGAUACAUAGCCGACCUGAGAGGGUGAUCGGCCACACUGGGAAUGAGACACGGCCCAGACUCCUACGGGAGGCAGCAGUAGGGAAUCUUCGGCAAUGGACGGAAGUCUGACCGAGCAACGCCGCGUGAGUGAAGAAGGUUUUCGGAUCGUAAAGCUCUGUUGUAAGAGAAGAACGAGUGUGAGAGUGGAAAGUUCACACUGUGACGGUAGCUUACCAGAAAGGGACGGCUAACUACGUG
rnacentral:rRNA from 1 species